GUCUACAGCCAUACCACUGUGAAGGUGCCCAAUCUCAUCUGAUCUCGGAAGACAAUCAGAGUCGGGGCUGGUGAGAACUUGGAUAGGAGAAAUAUAGCCAUUUAACACGGUUUUGUAAUUU
rnacentral:rRNA from 1 species